UGGGGAAUAUUGGACAAUGGGCGCAAGCCUGAUCCAGCCAUGCCGCGUGAGUGAUGAAGGCCCUAGGGUUGUAAAGCUCUUUCACCGGUGAAGAUAAUGACGGUAACCGGAGAAGAAGCCCCGGCUAACUUCGUGCCAGCAGCCGCGGUAAUACGAAGGGGGCUAGCGUUGUUCGGAUUUACUGGGCGUAAAGCGCACGUAGGCGGACUAUUAAGUCAGGGGUGAAAUCCCGGGGCUCAACACCGGAACUGCCUUUGAUACAGGUAGUCUUGAGUUCGAAAGAGGUGAGUGGAAUUCCGGGUGUAGAGGUGAAAUACGUAGAUAUUCGGGGGAACACCAGUGGCGAAGGCGGCUCACUGGCUCGAUACUGACGCUGAGGUGCGAAAGCGUGGGGGGCAAAAAGG
rnacentral:rRNA from 1 species